CCCCGCAGACGCCGCGUCCCCCCCCAGUUCCGGGCUCUGCGUCCCGGGCGCUCCGAGGUCUGAGAAGAGGAAAGGAGCUCCUCCGCCUCCUUCUCCUCCUCUUCUAGAGCGGCCGCCGUCGCCGCCUCGCUCCUCCCCCAGCUCUCCCAGAGCCGGACGCCGCCCCGCCCCCACCGCCCCUUUCCCGGCUUCGGCCGGGCGGCGGGCUGGGGUUCGCAGCCGCGGCUGGGGGCCGAAGUGCCAGCGGAUCCACACCGACCUCGCCGGGGCUCGCGCUGUUCGCCCCGCCCCGGAGCCCGCUCGGGCGCGUGCGCGCCAGCCAGCCAGCGCACAGGCGCGUGCUCGCGCCGGCGCGAACCCGACGCGCCGAGCUCGAGGCCGUUGCAGCCACCCGGCGCGCGAAGGCCGGGCGGGAGGCGGCCCGCGCGCCAGGGAUCUGCGAGUGGAGAGGCGCCGGGCGGGAGGCGGGCUCCAGUCCGUCGGGUUACCGCCCCUCUCGAGACCCAGCCCCUCGCGCCUCGCACCGCCCGCCGGGUCGCGCGCCUCAGUUGAGGGUGCUCGGGCGUCGCCGGGAACUGGGAAUAACGAGGAAGGGUAGGGAUUGGAGGAGUGGGUCGGCAACAAACUAGAUGAAAGUGGGGACGGGUAGUACUAGAGCACGUGCCCACGUGCAGAACAGCCCAGGCCCACAAAGAGCCGGGCGGCGUGGGGAGGGGGGUAACAGCGCGCUCUGGGAGUGAAGGACCGGAGCUGGAACUGCCGAAAAGAGCCGAAACUCCCCCGGAGAUUGCCGAAGGCGGGCGCAUCGAGAGGAACCGUGCGAGGGGCUUUAUAAUAUCUAGGUUCCCGCGGGGACGCGCGCUCUCAGGCCGCGUUGCCUUUCGCUGCUCCCGACUCCGCCCCAUGGCCUUCCAGCGCCUUCUCCUUUGCCUGCUUCCCGACUCAAGUUUGACUCCAAAAGGCCGUUUCAGAGUCCCUGACCUCAGGCAACUCCCGGACGUCCGGACUUCGUGGCCGCUCAGCUUCCUGGGAGUCCGUAGAGGCCGGUGCGGGAUCGAGGGCAGGAGGGCAGGAUAACCUCUGGACUUGAAGGUUCUCUACCACGUAUGCCAGACGCUGCCCAAGCCCAUUUCUGAGUCGGAUCUCUGGUUUGCUCAGCCGUCUACAUUCCUCCGUGCGGCUGUGGUCAGGCCGCCAGUGAAUCUUUCUGUUAAAUAUCCUUCUGACUUCAUGAUCAGAUUCCCAACCUCCCCAGGGCCAGAAUCGUCUGUAGUAUUUGUGCAACCUUCUACCCAGUGUCCUGAAAGUGUGAAGUACUCACCCCACCGUCAACUGGUCAGUGGUCGAUUAGGAGCGGCCAGAGGCUGGGGAUUUAGACAGCAUUGAAAAGAUUAAUCAGGAUCUGUCCCCAUGUUGUUAGCUUUUGAGGCCAAAGCUUAAGGAACUCUGGACAGGCAUCAGCGACAAACCUGGAACUGUAUAUGAGUAUGUAUAGCUAGACACCACAGGCACAGAGUAGAAAUGGAAUGCUAUGACCUUGCUUAACGGGAAACUUCAUGCUGCUGAAGAAUGGUACCUGACCAAGAGAAUCCAAGAUCCCUUCCAUAAUGACAGAUUUCACCUACCAAAAGUUGCCUAGAAAACUCUUCAUUAUAGGGCCCCUUGUUGCUGCAGAACCAAUAUUGUUUCUUUGGGAGGAAAAUAAAGUCUACUUUUGGAAAUCUCA